CGGAGAGUAAACAGAUAUAUUGGAGCCCCAAGGGUUCAUGGGUAGCGUAUUUACAAAGGAGCCUCUCCGCCAGCCCGUGCCACCGCUGCUAAUGAGAGCGGUCAUUAAGUAAAUGAGACGUCGCCUUUAGCUGGCUUAGGAGUCGCACACUAAGGGGAGAAGAUAUUUAAUUGAAACCCGCACACAGGCUUCCCCACAUGUGACCGCUGUAAGGGAGGCAGCUGCCUCCCCUCUCCUCCCCCGUCCACCCUGCACCCCCCAUGUAAAUUUCAUGAUUGCUUUCCGUGAUGUCAUUUUGAAGGAGGACAGACAAUAGCUGUGGGGAAAGAAAAUGAGUUCCGGGGUGAGCUGCUGAGUCAGAGGUGGACACAAGGAGACAAAGCCAGCAACUGCAGGACCUCGAGGCUCCUCCUGGGCAGACGCGGCAAGGCUUGUCAGUGUUCUGCCGUGUUGGAGCCUGAGGCAAAAGGAAAAGUCGGUAGUACCAAUCCUAUCUUUAUUUAAAUUUUGGGUAUUUUAUUCAUCAUGGAUUUUUGGCAUUAAUUUUGUUAUUUUGAAAUAUUGCAUUAAACCGUUAUCUCAAUCACUG
rnacentral:lncRNA from 1 species